CAUUAGAUGACUGAAAAGCAAGUAGCGGUCUCUUAAACCGUAUAAUAGUAAUAUAGCAAUUACUUCUAAUGA
rnacentral:tRNA from 1 species